rnacentral:rRNA from 1 species
AUGGUUGGUUUUAGGGACUGUUUGGAAGUAUGUGGCUUGGUGGAUCUUGGAUUCGUAGGGGUGCCUUUCACCUAUGACAAUAAACGAGCUGCUGCAAAUAAUGUAUGGGUUCGACUUGAUCGUGCUAUUGCUACAAAUAUGUGGAGGAACAUGUUUGCUUUUUCUGUUGUUUCGCAUAUUCCUUCUCCAUGUUCAGACCAUAUAAUGUUACUGAUCAAGGCCUCGGCCGACCCAGGGCCGACGGGUGCAAAACCGAGGAGGUAUGAACUAUUUUGGGAGAGUGAUGGUACGUUGCCGGAGGUGAUUAAGGAGGCAUGGGAUGCGGUGGGGGGUGUCCGCAAUCUUGCCCAUCUGCGGGAUGCCCUGGCAAAGACCAUGAUUUCGCUCGGCACAUGGGGGAGGAAGUUCGGUAAUGUUACAAGGGAACUUGCAAAAUCUAGAACCCAGCUUGAGGAGCUUAUGCACAUGAAUGCGGAUUAG